rnacentral:rRNA from 1 species
CUACGGAGGAUCCGAGCGUUAUCCGGAUUUAUUGGGUUUAAAGGGUGCGCAGGCGGCCAUUUAAGUCAGCGGUUAAAUCGUGGGGCUCAACCCCAUUCUGCCGUUGAUACUGGGUGGCUUGAUUGCGGUCGAGGUUGGCGGAAUUCGUUGUGUAGCGGUGAAAUGCAUAGAUAUGACGAAGAACACCGAUUGCGUAGGCAGCUGACCAGAUCGCAAAUGACGCUCAUGCACGAAAGUGCGGGGAUCGAACAGGAUUAGAUACCCUGGUAGUCCGCACAGUAAACGAUGAAUACUUGUUUUCGGCGAUAUAAUGUCGGAGGCAAAGCGAAAGCGAUAAGUAUUCCACCUGGGGAGUACGUCGGCAACGGUGAAACUCAAAGAAAUUGACGGGG